GUGAAACUGCUUAAUAACCCUGCCAGUCACUGCCUUUCAGAUGCUGGAGCCGGUCUGAGGGGAAAUGAGCAGAGAUGGAAUUUGUUCAUGCUUUUUUGUUCUGGUCAUCGAAGCUGGGCUUCAGAGCCAAGGUGGGAUGCCAAGCUCAUUCUGAAGAUCCAUGAGAAGCCUCCCAGAUCUAGAAAACUUGCAGUCAAGACACCUACAGAGAUGAAGGAGCAGAUCAUUUUUAGUGAAUCCUGAAACACCAGAAGGACACUAGA